GCUCUGCUCAUAUAACACGAAGACGCAGAAAUGCUCUUGAAACAGAGCAGAUUGGCCAGCCAGCACUAUUCCAGCAAGUGGGCCCUCUGGUGGACGACUGGGAGAGCUACCUUACAGGCAUUGCUGAAGAUCUGGAUCUACACAAGGAACUGAAAGAACUCACAGGAACUUUCUCAGGAGCAACAACUCUUCACACCGGAAGAGGAAAGUGGAAAAGCAUUUCUUCAGCAGCUUGACGGAUCACUGCUCUCCUCCAUUGCUGCCCUGCGUUCCAAACUAGACUCACUGCACAUUCCUGUCAUACCAGAAUUGGACCACCAACUGUUUCAAAGGGAUUUCACCAUUCCCACCACUGGAAAACAGCAACAGGAUAAUAGUGCCAAAUCUAAGGAGUCUGUACUGUCAGCAGACUAUUGGACUGCUCUGAUAUAUAAA